rnacentral:misc_RNA from 1 species
GGGGUCCAUUGUUUCAUUCAACGGCCGUGUUCUCACCAGCAGUCUUCUUUACACGCAAGCAUCAUGUUCGUGCAAGCAUCAUGUUCGUGCAAUCACGCUACGCCAAACCAAAACUGUACCUACGGAGAAGGAGAAGACCGAAGAUGCUAUGCGCCCACUACUCUCCCACCAUCUGGUUCUGUUGUUUUCUUGCAAUUGUAGUAUUUUAAACCACAAAUAAGAGACCCUUGGGAAAAUUAGAUAACGGAUUCAGACUUUAGAGGACUUGAAAGCUCUCUCUCCGGAUUUCUUAACUUUCUGUUUGGUUAUUGAGAAUCUCAACAGGCGAAGAAAAGAGGGACUGACGAUAUCUAGAACUGGAAAGUUGGAUUCUUCAUCUCAGGUUUGGUUUCUUUCAAGCAAAAAAAAAUCAUCUUUAAUGGUCCCGAGUUUCUCUCUUUUCACACUAACGUUUCUCUUCUUUCACAUUAACCGUUGAUUUCUCUGCAAUUAAAUUUUGCUGUUUUUUUUUUGACAUUUUUGCUUUCCUUUUCUACAGCGUAUUGAUUUUUUUUUUCCAUUUAUAUAUACAUUUUUAUCGCCUUGAUUUUUUUCGUGUGUGGCUGUGGUCAAUGUUUCUUGUUGGGUCCCUGUCGUAAAUCUAAUUGUUUCAUUUGUUCGUUGGUAUUCUCUGCAACAAGCAAUUAUUAAACCCAAAUGGUAUUCUUCUCCUUCCUGGAACUUUUUAUGCUUAAAUGGAUUUGCUAUGGGUACUGAUUCUUGUUUUAUUGUCUCUGAGUAGAUAUAAUAUGGCAAUGGCGGACAGCAAUUCUGUGUCUCAUUCUGGGAAUGCCUUAAACCUUGAGUCGGUGAGAGACUCUUUGAUAAGACAAGAGGACACCAUUGUUUUUAGUCUGAUAGAGAGAGCAAGGUAUCCCGUCAAUUCUCGACUGUACAAUCAAACUUUGGGGUUGGUUCCUGGGUUUUCUGGGUCCUUGGUUCACUUCAUUGUUAAGGAAACGGAGGCUAUUCAAGCCAAGGCCGGGAGGUAUGAGAAUCCAGAGGAAAAUCCCUUCUUCCCAAAUGGUCUACCACCCUCAGUGGUGCCGACUCAUAAGUAUCCUCAGGUAAUUGUUUUCUUCUAAGCUAUGUUUUUGUUUUACCGGAUUCCAUGAAGUUGAGAAUCUAAGCUUCUCUUAUAGGUUUUGCAUCCCGCAGCUGCCUCCAUUAGCAUAAACGAGCACAUAUGGGAUAUAUAUUUUAACCAACUUCUUCCAUUGUUUGUUGCUGAGGGUGAUGAUGGCAACUAUGCGUCAACUGCUGCUAGUGAUCUUAACUGUUUGCAGGCAAUGAUUAUGCUAUAAGCCUAUAACAUGUGCUUACAUUCCUGGUUCCCCUUGAUAAAGGGUUGAUGUUUGUUUUGCUAAACCACUUUUAUAGACUAUAAAAAUGUAAAUUCCUGCCUGCAGGCCCUCUCUAGAAGAAUCCAUUAUGGAAAAUAUGUGGCUGAAGUUAAAUUCAGGGAAGCUCCACAAGAUUAUGAACCUCUAAUUCGUGCUAAGGUAUCAUUAAGGAUGGUAUGAUUUUGGAGAAGAGCUAGCAUUAGUAGGGCUUAAGAAGAUGGUGACUUAAUUCAUUAAGUGUUGAUAGCAAAUUCAUAGUUGCAUUUUUUUAAUCCCCAGUUAAAUUUAAGAGUAAAGGUAGUGAAGGAUGAAUAGUUAUUCAUCAUUAAUAUUUCCACACAAUUAAUUAUGGUGAUUGGCAUGUAAAUGCAAAUUUUGCAUGGAUUUUUAAAAUUUUUUUUUCUUUAUCAUUCUAAGUUCUGUAUUUUGUUGAGCAAGUAAAAUGAUAUUUAGCAUAUUAGUGGGCUAAUACCUUUGUUCUUUCAGGACAGAGAUGCUCUGAUGAACUUGUUGACGUUUAAGAAUGUGGAAGAGAUGGUGAAGAAGAGAGUUGCAAAGAAGGCAACUGUGUUUGGGCAAGAAGUAACCCUUGGAAACAAUAGCAGUGGAAAUUACAAGAUUGAUCCUUUGAUAGUUUCUCAUCUCUAUGCAGAAUGGGUAAUGCCGCUCACCAAGCUUGUUGAAGUUGAGUAUCUCCUUCGCCGACUGGACUGAAAACCUUAUAUCGUUCACGAGUAAUCGAUGAAUAUUUUCAUUAUUCUAAAGAACACAGGAAUCAGAUAUCCAGCCCAUGCAAAAUGUCCCAUUUAGAUAUGGAGAAGCAUGCUCCAGUAUGUUCAUUGGCAUUUCAAUGCAUGUGUUAUGCCUUACUGAUUAUGUAAGAUUUUAGAAAUAAAACAUUAUUUGGUAUGAUGCUCAGUUCUUCACCAUCAGAAGGCAAUAUUCAUUGGAGGAUCAUGCAACAUAUAUAGCAUUAAUCUGGAUUAGGACCGUGAUAUUAAUUUUGCACCUUCC